rnacentral:rRNA from 1 species
AGCAGCCGCGGUAAUCCCAGCUCCAAUAGCGUAUAUUAAAGUUGUUGCAGUUAAAAAGCUCGUAGUUGAAUUUCGGGGUCAGUAGGUUGGUCGUGCCAACGGCAUGCACUGGCCUCACUGAUUCCUCCCACUUGUAGAACCGUAAUGCCAUUAAUUUGGUGUUGCGGGGAAACAGGACUGUUACUUUGAAAAAAUUAGAGUGUUUAAAGCAGGCUAACGCUUGAAUACAUUAGCAUGGAAUAAUGAAAUAGGACGUUCGACCCUAUUUUGUUGGUUUCUAGGAUUGACGUAAUGAUUAAUAGGGAUAGUUGGGGGCAUUAGUAUUCAAUUGUCAGAGGUGAAAUUCUUGGAUUUAUUGAAGACUAACUACUGCGAAAGCAUUUGCCAAGGAUGUUUUCGUUAAUCAAGAACGAAAGUUAGGGGAUCGAAGACGAUCAGAUACCGUCGUAGUCUUAACCAUAAACUAUGCCGACUAGGGAUCGGAUGAUGUUAAUUUUUUAAUGACUCA